AUCCAGCUGACGACUCCCAAAUAAAAAGAAACGCGCGUUCCGGAU
rfam:Schistosoma mattheei strain Denwood, Zambia genome assembly, scaffold: SMTD_contig0023454